GCCAUGCAUGAAGGCGUAUGCCUGUAGUCCCAGCUAUUCUGGAGGCUGAGGCUGAAGUAUUACUUGAGCCCAGGUGUUUCAGGCUGCAGUAAGCUAUACUCACAGGGUGCCCAUACUAAAUUCAGCAUCAAUGUGGUGACCUCCUAGAAACCAGGGAUUACCACAUUGUGCAGGUAGGGGUGACAGAGCAGGUUGGAAACAGGAGACCAAAACUCCCAUGCUGAUCAGUAGUGGGAUUGUGCCUGUGAGUGGCCACUGCACUCCAGCCUGGCAACAUAGUGAAAAACUAUCUCU
rnacentral:SRP_RNA from 1 species